rnacentral:rRNA from 1 species
AGCAGCCGCGGUAAUUCCAGCUCCAAUAGCGUAUAUUAAAGUUGCUGCAGUUAAAAAGCUCGUAGUUGAAUUUCGGGACCAUCAUGUCGGUCGUGCCUCGGUACGUACUGGCAUUGUUGGUUUCUACCUUCUGACGAACCAUGAUGUCAUUUAUUUGGUGUCGUGGGAAAUCAGGACUGUUACUUUGAAAAAAUUAGAGUGUUUAAAGCAGGCUCACGCUUGAAUACAUUAGCAUGGAAUAAUGAAAUAGGACGUUUGAUUCUAUUUUGUUGGUUUCUAGGAUCGACGUAAUGAUUAAUAGGGAUAGUUGGGGGCAUUAGUAUUCAAUUGUCAGAGGUGAAAUUCUUGGAUUUAUUGAAGACUAACUACUGCGAAAGCAUUUGCCAAGGAUGUUUUCAUUAAUCAAGAACGAAAGUUAGGGGAUCGAAGACGAUCAGAUACCGUCGUAGU